CACCAAUCCCGUGCGUCUUCGAGCAGCCAAUCCAGCCCCGCUCCCCUCCCUCUCCACGGCGCCGCCGCCUCCUCCCCUUCUGCCCUGCUCUCCACCGCGCUGCCGCCUCCUCCCUUAUGCUCCCCACCGCGCCGCCUCUUCCUCCCCUUCACUGUUCUCUCCAGCGGCGGCAAAGAUCUGGCGGCAAAGGGAGACGACGAGGGCGCUUGAUCCGAUCUGCUGAAGACAAGGAAGGAGAGGAGGGAGAAAGAGAGAGGAAAGAGGAGAGGGAGGUGUGGUGGCGGAUGAGAGAGGGUCACCGGAAGGAGCGUGACGACCUGCAGGCAAAGGGCGGCGGCGGCGCCGCUCGAUUUGAUCUGCGGGAGAGAGAAGAUGAGAGGGGGAGGGAGAGGGAGAGAGAGAAGGAAGGAGACGAGAGGAGAGAGAAAGAGAGAGGAGAAAGGAGAGGAGGGGGGCGACGGCGGUCGGGAGAGGAUCACCGGAAGGAGUGCCGCCGGCUCAUCGUCUUUCAUACCUACCCAUGCAGCUGCCGGCUGCAGGGGUGUUGCAAGGAGUUAGAGGUCGUGCGCUGGCCGGAGCAGCAGGAGCAAGGAUAUGGCCGCCUCUCUUCUCUGCCACGGUUCCCUCCUCUUCCUUCAGCUCUCGAGAUGUCGACCUGCAGGUUAAGGCAAACCAUUGUUUGACAACAAAUAUGCGGAGGCGUUUUUAUGAAUGUGCAUUUCACCUGAAUCUGGAGAGCUAUUUUAUCUGUCGCGGACAUUUUUGGUGGAAUUCAAUGCUUUAGCAGCUUGGGAGCAAGUAGAAAUACUUGAUUUGAUGCUCAUGCUUCCAAUUUUUUCACAUUUCGCGAGAGCUAGGCGUACUUCUCGAUGACCUUGCCGUCUCCAACCCAUCCGUGGGAUUAUUAUGGAUUUUCUGAAGGUGGUGGUGGGGGUUGCACGGCAUGUUCCGUCUGGUUUCAGCCAUGGCUCCUUAGAGAGCUGGACAUGCUUGGUUGGAGUCGUCGUCGUCCUGGUUGGGGAGAUGAGCAUGCUUAUGCUUAUCUAACAUAUAAAGCCUCCUAGAUAGUUCCGAGGAAGCACUCAACCUAGACGUCGCCCCUAAAUCGCUGCUGCCACCGCUUGUAAAUUUUGUGCCCCGCCGAGGGCAUUUUAGUCUUUUCAGCGGGCCAAAAAGGCAGGCAGCGCGGGCAGGAGCGAGACCGCGCAGACUGCGUCUUCCCCACGAACCCUUUCCUGUUUGAAGAGGUGGCCUUUUGUGUGGUACUCAACUGCUAUCCCAGGAAGGGGACAUUCCAAAGAUAUGAAGGGAUAGCCUUUCGUUAAAAACCUGGUCUUUUGUUUGAAAGGGUCUAACUUUUACUGUGAACUACUUAUCAUGAUCUUAUUUUGAAGUGAUGGAUUUUUACAGAUAUUAGGCAGUGCUUGACUUCGGUGGCGUCGCCUUCUGGCAGGUCACGGGGUUAGAGCACAGGAACCUGACACGGUGUUCCAAACUCAGGCGGUCAUGGUCGACCAGAUGUCGAAGGGCUUGGUAGCAACUCUCACGGAGAAAGAGAACAAGUUUUCAAGAGAUUCAGUGUAACUGGAAAUUGUCAGACUCACCGGAGGUAUUCAGGAUUACAAAUUUGGCAGAUGCUGUUGCUUGCAAACCCUAGGCCUGGUUCCUGGACUUGGUCGGCCUCCUCGGGGGAUGUAGCUGCGCUCCGGUGUCGACUCCUCGACCAAUGACGCUCCAUCCCAACCCCACCAAUCUUCACCGCUGCUUGACGACAUGGAGCUGAACACCGCUGCAACCAUGGUGGCGCCCCCUCUGACCAAGGGAUUGCGACGCCAGCAAAGCAAAGGAAGAUCCGCAACAAAACUCUGCAAGGUUAAUUCACUGAUCUGUACUUCAAACUUGAUUGUUGAAUUGUACUAAAUUCCAUACCCGGUCUUCCGGUGGCCUCCCUGGUGUGUUUCUCCCCGCAUCAUAUUCCUCCAGCUACUAACCCUGUUUCCAGCAAGCUCUGUUGCCGUCAGAAUGAGUCAAUGAGGUUUGUUAAUUUGCAGGGAUGUGACAUCUAAAUAUGUAUUCUUGCCAUCGCAGCAAAAAAAUUGAGAUAUCUCAUAUAUUGGCAAAGCUAAUGCCUGAGAGGGAGCUACCAAACAAGCAUGCUUUAUAUUUGGGACGUGCAGGCUGGAAGGAUCAUUGGUAAUUGAUCCUAUCAAAGGAAGGUGCGAUCUCCAGCCUGAAGGAAUGGCUGGUUGAUUCAGCUAUAGGAAGCAAUCCUGUUCUGCAAUUGAUUGCUGGAAUCGUAUUUAUGCAAGAGCAAGACUACACACGAGGCUGUCAAGCACACACACACACAACGGAAGAACUCUGGACAUUUCAUCAUCUUCUGACACUGGAAGAGGAUGCACUAAGUUAUAAAGUAAUAAAGUAAAACAUGGAUUUCACUUACUUGAGAGAAGAUCUGGCCAUCACAUUGACACUGCUACGUACCAGACUAAAGUUCAACAAAUGAUCAUUCAUCAUCUUCUGAUCAUGGUCUUUGCCGUUUAUGAUGCCAAUUUUGGAGAUACCGUUUGUUCAACUACAUACUA